GGAGAACAUAGGAGAAGCUUCAAAUCAAGACAAAGGCACAAGACAUGAUACAAAGACAUAAAUUCAGAGUCAUGACAAGAAUGGGACGUCACUUAAUUUCAUAUGCGAGUCAAGGCAGACGGCUGAAGCUUCAUUGUACAGAGAGACAUAAUCUGCAGUGUGUCUCUGAUAUCAGCAUGUUUGAUACAGAGGUCGUCUCUCCAGAUGUGGCUGCAGCUCUGUGGGCUCGAGGCCCUGCCAGAUGUGGAUUCUGACCACUGAACAAAAGUCCAUCUGGGACUCUGGAACCAGUCGCAGCAGUAAAUGAGCGACAUCUUUAACUGUUUAAUGAAAACACUCACCAACAACAAGCUCGAUGAUGGAUGUUUGUCUCGGUUGAUGACGUGGAAAAUCACAGCUGUAGUUCCCGCUGUCGGCCAUCUUUGUUCCUGUGAUCUUUAUGGAGGCGUCACCGUUCUUCAGUUGAUCUU